rnacentral:rRNA from 1 species
AUUAUUUUAAGAUUAUUUUUUAUUGUUGAAAAAAUUAAAAAUAAAUUGUUUUUAACAAAAAUUAAAAUUUAUAAUAUUUCAUUUUUUGGUUUUUUGUUUUAAAUUAAAAUAAUAAAUAUGGGGGAAAAAAAAAUUUUGUUAUAAAUUAUAUUAGUUUAUUUUAAUUAAAAAUAUUUUUUAUUAAAUUUGUUUUUUUUAUUUUUUUAUAAAAAAUAUUAAUUUAAUUAUUAUUAUUGAGUUUAAUUUAGUUAUUUUUAAAAAAAUUUUGUAUAAAAUAAAUUUGAUAAUAAAUGUUUUUUAAAUUCUUUGGGGGUUUAGUUUAUGAUUUUUUGUUUCUGCUCAUUGUUAAAUAAAAGCACUUUUA